UUAAGUUAUUAAGGGCGCACGGUGGAUGCCUUGGCACUAGAAGCCGAUGAAGGACGUUACUAACGACGAUAUGCUUUGGGGAGCUGUAAGUAAGCUUUGAUCCAGAGAUUUCCGAAUGGGGAAACCCAGCAUGAGUUAUGUCAUGUUAUCGAUAUGUGAAUACAUAGCAUAUCAGAAGGCACACCCGGAGAACUGAAACAUCUUAGUACCCGGAGGAAGAGAAAGAAAAUUCGAUUCCCUUAGUAGCGGCGAGCGAAACGGGAAGAGCCCAAACCAACAAGCUUGCUUGUUGGGGUUGUAGGACACUCUAUACGGAGUUACAAAGGACGACAUUAGACGAAUCAUCUGGAAAGAUGAAUCAAAGAAGGUAAUAAUCCUGUAGUCGAAAAUGUUGUCUCUCUUGAGUGGAUCCUGAGUACGACGGAGCACGUGAAAUUCCGUCGGAAUCUGGGAGGACCAUCUCCUAAGGCUAAAUACUCUCUAGUGACCGAUAGUGAACCAGUACCGUGAGGGAAAGGUGAAAAGCACCCCGGAAGGGGAGUGAAAUAGAACCUGAAACCGUGUGCUUACAAGUAGUCAGAGCCCGUUAAUGGGUGAUGGCGUGCCUUUUGUAGAAUGAACCGGCGAGUUACGAUUUGAUGCAAGGUUAAGCAGUAAAUGUGGAGCCGUAGCGAAAGCGAGUCUGAAUAGGGCGUUUAGUAUUUGGUCGUAGACCCGAAACCAGGUGAUCUACCCUUGGUCAGGUUGAAGUUCAGGUAACACUGAAUGGAGGACCGAACCGACUUACGUUGAAAAGUGAGCGGAUGAACUGAGGGUAGCGGAGAAAUUCCAAUCGAACCUGGAGAUAGCUGGUUCUCUCCGAAAUAGCUUUAGGGCUAGCCUCAAGUGAUGAUUAUUGGAGGUAGAGCACUGUUUGGACGAGGGGCCCCUCUCGGGUUACCGAAUUCAGACAAACUCCGAAUGCCAAUUAAUUUAACUUGGGAGUCAGAACAUGGGUGAUAAGGUCCGUGUUCGAAAGGGAAACAGCCCAGACCACCAGCUAAGGUCCCAAAAUAUAUGUUAAGUGGAAAAGGAUGUGGCGUUGCCCAGACAACUAGGAUGUUGGCUUAGAAGCAGCCAUCAUUUAAAGAGUGCGUAAUAGCUCACUAGUCGAGUGACACUGCGCCGAAAAUGUACCGGGGCUAAACAUAUUACCGAAGCUGUGGAUUGUCCUUUGGACAAUGGUAGGAGAGCGUUCUAAGGGCGUUGAAGCAUGAUCGUAAGGACAUGUGGAGCGCUUAGAAGUGAGAAUGCCGGUGUGAGUAGCGAAAGACGGGUGAGAAUCCCGUCCACCGAUUGACUAAGGUUUCCAGAGGAAGGCUCGUCCGCUCUGGGUUAGUCGGGUCCUAAGCUGAGGCCGACAGGCGUAGGCGAUGGAUAACAGGUUGAUAUUCCUGUACCACCUAUAAUCGUUUUAAUCGAUGGGGGGACGCAGUAGGAUAGGCGAAGCGUGCGAUUGGAUUGCACGUCUAAGCAGUAAGGCUGAGUAUUAGGCAAAUCCGGUACUCGUUAAGGCUGAGCUGUGAUGGGGAGAAGACAUUGAGUCUUCGAGUCGUUGAUUUCACACUGCCGAGAAAAGCCUCUAGAUAGAAAAUAGGUGCCCGUACCGCAAACCGACACAGGUAGUCAAGAUGAGAAUUCUAAGGUGAGCGAGCGAACUCUCGUUAAGGAACUCGGCAAAAUGACCCCGUAACUUCGGGAGAAGGGGUGCUCUUUAGGGUUAACGCCCAGAAGAGCCGCAGUGAAUAGGCCCAAGCGACUGUUUAUCAAAAACACAGGUCUCUGCUAAACCGUAAGGUGAUGUAUAGGGGCUGACGCCUGCCCGGUGCUGGAAGGUUAAGAGGAGUGGUUAGCUUCUGCGAAGCUACGAAUCGAAGCCCCAGUAAACGGCGGCCGUAACUAUAACGGUCCUAAGGUAGCGAAAUUCCUUGUCGGGUAAGUUCCGACCCGCACGAA
rnacentral:rRNA from 1 species